AUUUGAGAACCUUCUUUUUUCCUAGUACAGGUGUUUAGUACUAAAAUUUCUCUGUAACUACUGCUUUAGUUACAUCUACAAAUUUUAAUGUUAUUUUUUCAUUUAGUUAGAAACACUUUCUAAUUUACCUUUGUUAUUUUCUCUGAACCAUGGGUUAUUUAGAAAUCUGUGAUUUAGUUUCCAAAUAAUUUGGAAUUUUCCAGGAUUUAACACUGCAUCAAAGACCCCAAGAAAUGCUAUUAAAAUGCAAAUAAGUUGGUUCUUAGAAGUUUGGAGAAAGCAAUGGCACACAUUUAAAGAAGCAGAAAUGCUAGAGUUGCUAUAGCAGACAAUGGAAGAAGAAACCAAGAGACUCGGAGAACAUGCAGGAGGGAUGUAUUAGAGGGCAGUAAUUAUUAUAAUAGUACUGUUAAAGACGAUGAAGACUUACAGACAUGGAGACAAAGAAGAAUUGAAGUGGAUAUGAGCAAAAUAAAUAUCUUUUCCUCCUACUUAUCCAGAAUUCUCAAAAGAUAUUAAUUAUUUUGACAAGCAGCAGGGAAAUGCCAUGAAUAUGUGAACUGAUGAAAACAAAAGCAAUGAUACUUCCAAGGAUGCACCUGACAGCUCUUAAGGGAUCUAGAGAAAUGAGAGAAUUACAGAGAAGAUUUCAAGUGUUUUACUAAUAAACUCAGCAGCAACAUCCUAGAUUGAGAUUGCAGUCUAGACUGCAGCAACAUCCUAGAUUUCGCCAUCACCAUUGUCUUCAUUGCUG
rnacentral:lncRNA from 1 species